AGGCCGAAAGGCGUAGUCGAUGGGAAACAGGUUAAUAUUCCUGUACUUGGUGUUACUGCGAAGGGGGGACGGAGAAGGCUAUGUUAGCCGGGCGACGGUUGUCCCGGUUUAAGCAUGUAGGCUGGUUAUCCAGGCAAAUCCGGAUAAUCAAGGCUGAGGUGUGAUGACGAAGCACUACGGUGCUGAAGUAACAAAUGCCCUGCUUCCAGGAAAAGCCUCUAAGCAUCAGGUAACAUCAAAUCGUACCCCAAACCGACACAGGUGGUCAGGUAGAGAAUACCAAGGCGCUUGAGAGAACUCGGGUGAAGGAACUAGGCAAAAUGGUGCCGUAACUUCGGGAGAAGGCACGCUGGUGUGUAGGUGAAG
rnacentral:rRNA from 1 species